AGGAUUGUAGUUUAAGUAAAACAUUUGAUUUGCAUUCAAAAAAUAUUAAUUAAUAAUUUAUCUUA
rnacentral:tRNA from 1 species